rnacentral:rRNA from 1 species
UAUGUAGGUGGUUUAGCAAGCGUAGGGUUUAAGGCGACAGCCCAACUGUCGUAUGCCCCGCGAACUGUUAGACAUGAGUACAGGAGGGGAAGGCGGAAUUCCUAGUGUAGCGGUGAAAUGCGUAGAUAUUAGGAGGAACACCGGUGGCGAAGGCGGCCUUCUGGACUGUAACUGACACUGAGAUACGAAAGCGUGGGUAGCAAACA